CNAGUCGAACGGAAAGGCCACUGCUUGCAGUGGUACUCGAGUGGCGAACGGGCNNNGUAACACGUGGGUGAUCUGCCCUGUACUUUGGGAUAAGCCUGGGAAACUGGGUCUAAUACCGGAUAGGACCAUCGUUUAGUGUCGGUGGUGGAAAGCUUUUGCGGUACGGGAUGAGCUCGCGGCCUAUCAGCUUGUUGGUGGGGUAAUGGCCUACCAAGGCGUCGACGGGUAGCCGGCCUGAGAGGGUGGACGGCCACAUUGGGACUGAGAUACGGCCCAGACUCCUACGGGAGGCAGCAGUGGGGAAUAUUGCACAAUGGGCGCAAGCCUGAUGCAGCGACGCCGCGUGAGGGAUGACGGCCUUCGGGUUGUAAACCUCUUUCGCUAGGGACGAAGCUUUUGUGACGGUACCUAGAGAAGAAGCACCGGCUAACUACGUGCCAGCAGCCGCGGUAAUACGUAGGGUGCGAGCGUUGUCCGGAUUUACUGGGCGUAAAGAGCUCGUAGGUGGUUUGUCGCGUCGUCUGUGAAAUUCCGGGGCUUAACUCCGGGCGUGCAGGCGAUACGGGCAUAACUUGAGUACUGUAGGGGAGACUGGAAUUCCUGGUGUAGCGGUGGAAUGCGCAGAUAUCAGGAGGAACACCGAUGGCGAAGGCAGGUCUCUGGGCAGUUACUGACACUGAGGAGCGAAAGCAUGGGUAGCGAACAGGAUUAGAUACCCUGGUAGUCCAUGCCGU
rnacentral:rRNA from 1 species